GACGAACGCUGGCGGCGUGCCUAAUACAUGCAAGUAGAACGCACAGUUUAUACCGUAGCUUGCUACACCAUAGACUGUGAGUUGCGAACGGGUGAGUAACGCGUAGGUAACCUGCCUGGUAGCGGGGGAUAACUAUUGGAAACGAUAGCUAAUACCGCAUAAUAUUAAUUAUUGCAUGAUAAUUAAUUGAAAGGUGCAAUUGCACCACUACCAGAUGGACCUGCGUUGUAUUAGCUAGUAGGUGAGGUAACGGCUCACCUAGGCGACGAUACAUAGCCGAACUGAGAGGGGGAUCGGCCACACUGGGAGUGAGACACGGCCCAGAGUCAUACGGGAGGCGGCAGGAGUGCAUCUUCGGCAAUGGACGAAAGUCUGACCGAGAAACGCCGCGUGAGUGAAGAAGGUUUUCGGAUCGUAAAGCUCUGUUGUAAGAGAAGAACGGGUGUGAGAGUGGAAAGUUCACACUGUGACGGUAUCUUACCAGAAAGAGACGGCUAACUACGUG
rnacentral:rRNA from 1 species